AGUGAGCGCUGGCGGUAGGCCUAACACAUGCAAGUCGAACGGCAGCACAGGAGAGCUUGCUCUCUGGGUGGCGAGUGGCGGACGGGUGAGGAAUACAUCGGAAUCUACUCUGUCGUGGGGGAUAACGUAGGGAAACUUACGCUAAUACCGCAUACGACCUACGGGUGAAAGCAGGGGACCUUCGAGCCUUGCGCGAUUGAAUGAGCCGAUGUCGGAUUAGCUAGUUGGCGGGGUAAAGGCCCACCAAGGCGACAAUCCGUGGCUGGUCUGAGAGGAUGAUCAGCCACACUGGAACUGAGAAACGGUCCAGACUCCUACGGGAGGCAGCAGUGGGGAAUAUUGGACAAUGGGCGCAAGCCUGAUCCAGCCAUACCGCGUGGGUGAAGAAGGCCUUCGGGUUGUAAAGCCCUUUUGUUGGGAAAGAAAUCCAGCUGGCUAAUACCCGGUUGGGAUGACGGUACCCAAAGAAUAAGCACCGGCUAACUUCGUGCCAGCAGCCGCCGCAG
rnacentral:rRNA from 1 species